GAAGCUGCGAACGGCUCAUUAAAACAGUUAUAAUUUAUUUGAUAGUGUUUUUACAUGGAUAACCGUGGUAAUUCUAGGGCUAAUACAUGCACUAAGGCCCAACUCACGAAGGGCUGUAUUUAUUAGAUACUAACCAACAUUUGGUGAAUCAUAGUAACUGAUCGGAUCGUUCGUCAGAGCGAUAAAUCAUUCAAGUUUCUGCCCUAUCAGCUUUCGAUGGUAGUGUAUUGGACUACCAUGGCAGUCACGGGUAACGGAGAAUUAGGGUUCGAUUCCGGAGAGGGAGCCUGAGAAACGGCUACCACAUCUACGGAAGGCAGCAGGCGCGUAAAUUACCCAAUCCCAAUUCGGGGAGGUAGUGACAAGACAUAACAUGCCGGGAGCUUCUGUUCCUUAGGUAUUGCAAUGAGAUGAGUUUAAAUUACUCUACGAGUAGCAAUUGGAGGGCAAGUCUGGUGCCAGCAGCCGCGGUAAUUCCAGCUCCAAUAGCGUAUACUUAAGUUGUUGCAGUUAAAAAGUUCGUAGUUGAAUUUCUGGUCAGGCUCCGAGUCGGUUUCAAUCACUCGUGAGUCUGGUCAUCCGUCUACAAAUCUAUAUCUUCCCUCCGGGGACAGUGUAGCUGGGUAGACACUUUACCUUGAAAAAAUUAGAGUGUUUCAGGCAGGUCUCGCCGGAAUACGUUAGCAUGGAAUAAUGGAAUAGGACUUUUGUCCUUUGUUGGUUUUAGGACAAUCGUAAUGAUUAAUAGGGACAGUUGGGGGCAUUAGUAUUUAAUUGUCAGAGGUGAAAUUCUUGGAUUUAUUAAAGACUAACUAAUGCGAAAGCAUUUGCCAAGGAUGUUUUCAUUAAUCAAGAACGAAAGUUAGGGGAUCAAAGACGAUCAGAUACCGUCGUAGUCUUAACUAUAAACUAUACCGACUCGGGAUCGGAAGGGUACUAUAAUUGGCCCUUUCGGCACCGUAUGAGAAAUCAAAGUCUUUGGGUUCUGGGGGGAGUAUGGUCGCAAGGCUGAAACUUAAAGGAAUUGACGGAAGGGCACCACCAGGAGUGGAGCCUGCGGCUCAAUKUGACUCAACACGGGAAAACYUACCAGGUCAAAACAUGGAUGGGAUUGACAGAUUGAAAGCCCUUUCUUGAUUCUAUGGGUGGUGGUGCAUGGCCGUUCCUAGUUGGUGGAGUGAUUUGUCUGGUUAAUUCCGAUAACGAACGAGACCUUAACCUGCUAACUAGUUCGUCCCUGAACAAGGGCGUAACUUCUUAGAGGGACUAUGCGGUUCAAACGCAUGGAAGUUUGAGGCAAUAACAGGUCUGUGAUGCCCUUAGAUGUCCUGGGCCGCACGCGCGUUACAAUGGUAUGUUCAGCGAGUCCUUCUCCUGGCCCGGAAGGGUUCGGGAAAUCUUGUUAGGACGUACCGUGCUUGGGAUAGAUCUUCGCAACUAUAGAUCUUGAACGAGGAAUUCCUUGUAAGCACAAGUCAUCAGCCUGUGCUGAAUACGUCCCUGCCCUUUGUACACACCGCCC
rnacentral:rRNA from 1 species